rnacentral:rRNA from 1 species
UACGGAGGGUGCAAGCGUUAUCCGGAUUCACUGGGUUUAAAGGGUGCGUAGGUGGGCAGGUAAGUCAGUGGUGAAAUCUCCGGGCUUAACCCGGAAACUGCCGUUGAUACUAUUUGUCUUGAAUAUUGUGGAGGUAAGCGGAAUAUGUCAUGUAGCGGUGAAAUGCUUAGAUAUGACAUAGAACACCAAUUGCGAAGGCAGCUUACUACACAAUCAUUGACACUGAGGCACGAAAGCGUGGGGAUCAAACAGG